CGAUGUGACAUCCACAGAGGAACAGAGCAAGGUUCUAUGAGGGAACAUGGACCAAUCCCGUACCCAUGGCAGGUGCCUAUGACAACAAACCAAGACAAAGCUGGGCUUCCCUUCCAUACGGGGCCUCUGGCAUACUGUAGAUGCUUCUGGAACCACCACUGCCCUGACCACCUGCUGAGAGGUCCUGUGCCCAUGCUGGACAUCAGCAAGCAUUUCCUCUCACACAGAUCUAAACAUCCAUCGUGGGUUCAUAUUAAGCCAGUAAGCGAUUGGACAGUUACUGUGGGAAGAACAGCCACACAUCCAGAAGCAAUUCUGCCUAAUUCAAUAAUGUUAUUUCAGAGCUGCUAAGGGUUGAUUAUGUAAUAUUCUAGACCCUUUGUGGCAACUCAGCCCAGAGAUCAUUAGUGCUAAAGAUACCGUGCUAUGCUGCAAAUGGCACAGAGAAUUGCCUCCUGACACUGGCGGCACAUGGGAGCAGAGGCUCCUUCUCUGGGCAAAGGGAGACAAGCUGGGUUGUUUAUGUAAUGCCGUAGUGACUACAUGUGACUAUAUGUGAAUUAUAUUUUCACAUAUGUGCUCCUCUGAACCGCUGCUUCUCUUCCCCAAGCCUUUGUCUAAGCGUCAUCUCCUCAGAGAUACCUCACGGCCUCCUAAUCUCUAACACUUUGUGGACUUCUUCCUGCUCAGCCAUUCCUCAAGCCCUUCACAUCGCUCAUGACUACAGCAGCCCUCCACCCAUGGACUCCACAUUCACAGAGUCCACCAAUCACCGGCCAGAUCAGAAGAGAACAUGUCUAAGUGAACACUGACAAACAUUUCCAUCACCAUCUUUCCCUAAACCCUCACGAGUAAUCAUGGGUGCAGUGAGAAUCAAAUUCUUUGGGAUGUUGUGGUUCAGAUAUAAAAGAAC
rnacentral:lncRNA from 1 species